rnacentral:lncRNA from 1 species
GGUUUGCUCCUCUCCUUCCGAUCCGGUUUGCUUUUUGCUCCAAUCUGGUUCCGCUUGGAUGAUGAUGAUUUGUGUGGUUGUGAUCGUGCUUAGUGUGCAGUUGCUGUUUGUAAGUGGCCUUGCCUCACUGUGCCGUCUAGGUCGCUAUGAUACGUAACGGGAUGAGGUGUUUGUUAUGCAUGCUUCAUUCUCUUACGUGACUAUUAUGUUAUUUUUAUAAUGUUAUGGAUUGACUAUUGAAAUAUUUU